GUACAUUGCUUAAUUACCCCAAAGGCAACAGAUCCUGCCUGAUUUUAGAAGCUAAGCAGGGUCAUCCCUGGUGAGACUUUGAAGGGGAGACUGCCAACAAAUAACAGGUGCUGUGAAUA
rnacentral:rRNA from 11 species